GGGAACCAAGCCAAGCAUGGGCCUUGGGGACAGUUCAGAUCAAGCCAUAACAGACAGAGAAGCAGCAUUAACCAUCAAAAUGUGGGGAUGCUGUGGUGAUCCUGGUUUGUUUUCCAAGUCAGGUCACAGAAGCUCAAAUUACCCUGACUCCUGUGCAAGAUGCAUGUGAUCGCAUCCAGGAACCUGCUGGAUAAACUGGAAGAAUCUGCCAACUCCGGUGCUCACCUUCCUCACACCACACCAGGUAGCAGCACAGUGUGAUGUGCCCAGGGCUGCCCUCUUCCCUUCCCACCGCCUCCACACCUCUGGCCAUCCACAGUGGCUGACAUGCUCAUCUCUCUUGAUGGUGGCCAUGUUUCUUGGGUGUAUAAACAUGUCCAAACUAUCACACUGUAGUGUUUACAAAGAUACCAUUUAUACAUUGUCAGGUAUACCUCAAUAAAGCUGUUAAAACACAAAGUAGUUUAAGGUUAACAGUA
rnacentral:lncRNA from 1 species